GACGAACGCUGGCGGCGUGCUUAACACAUGCAAGUAGAACGGUAAGGCCCUUCGGGGUACACGAGUGGCGAACGGGUGAGUAACACGUGGGUAAUCUGCCCUGCACUUCGGGAUAAGCCUGGGAAACUGGGUCUAAUACCGGAUAUUCAGUUCCUGCCGCAUGGUGGGGGUUGGAAAGUUUUUCGGUGCAGGAUGAGCCCGCGGCCUAUCAGCUUGUUGGUGGGGUAAUGGCCUACCAAGGCGACGACGGGUAGCCGGCCUGAGAGGGUGAUCGGCCACACUGGGACUGAGACACGGCCCAGACUCCUACGGGAGGCAGCAGUGGGGAAUAUUGCACAAUGGGCGAAAGCCUGAUGCAGCGACGCCGCGUGAGGGAUGACGGUCUUCGGAUUGUAAACCCCUUUCAGUAGGGACGAAGCGCAAGUGACGGUACCUGCAGAAGAAGCACCGGCCAACUACGUG
rnacentral:rRNA from 1 species